UGCAAGUCGAACGAAGUCUUCGGACUUAGUGGCGCACGGGUGCGUAACGCGUGGGAACCUGCCUUUAGGUACGGAAUAACAGUUAGAAAUGACUGCUAAUACCGUAUAAUGUCUUCGGACCAAAGAUUUAUCGCCUUUAGAUGGGCCCGCGUUGGAUUAGGUAGUUGGUGGGGUAAAGGCCUACCAAGCCGACGAUCCAUAGCUGGUCUGAGAGGAUGAUCAGCCACACUGGGACUGAGACACGGCCCAGACUCCUACGGGAGGCAGCAGUGGGGAAUAUUGGACAAUGGGGGAAACCCUGAUCCAGCAAUGCCGCGUGAGUGAUGAAGGCCUUAGGGUUGUAAAGCUCUUUUACCAGGGAUGAUAAUGACAGUACCUGGAGAAUAAGCUCCGGCUAACUCCGUGCCAGCAGCCGCGGUAAUACGGAGGGAGCUAGCGUUGUUCGGAAUUACUGGGCGUAAAGCGCGCGUAGGCGGUCUAUUAAGUCAGGGGUGAAAUCCCGGGGCUCAACCCCGGAACUGCCCUUGAAACUGCUAGACUAGAAUCUUGGAGAGGCGAGUGGAAUUCCGAGUGUAGAGGUGAAAUUCGUAGAUAUUCGGAAGAACACCAGUGGCGAAGGCGACUCGCUGGACAAGUAUUGACGCUGAGGUGCGAAAGUGUGGGGAGCAAACAGGAUUAGAUACCCUGGUAGUCCACACCGUAAACGAUGAUAACUAGCUGUCCGGGCACAUGGUGCUUGGGUGGCGCAGCUAACGCAUUAAGUUAUCCGCCUGGGGAGUACGGUCGCAAGAUUAAAACUCAAAGGAAUUGACGGGGG
rnacentral:rRNA from 1 species